ACAAUCGAAUCAAGAAUUAGCUAUAAACGUCCAAAACUUUUCCUAGCCAGUUAUUUAUGGCCCCUGCGGCCAAUUUAAUUCUAUCGAGGACUAUAAAACAGCGUGGCGCAUAUAAAGCGAUUAUUAUGCCUGCUUGUUGACAGUUUAAGGCGUAGGUUACGAAAAAGGGGGUAAUGUGAUUCGGCCUCACGCGACGUUGUUACGCCGAAAUCAAUAAGACAUCAACCACCGCGGGGAUUCGGGCAGCAAUAUUUGGAAGACCAUCAACAGAGCUGACACAGUGCACAUUGACAGCAAGUAUACCCUCCAGGUAUGUGUGAAUAAUUAUGAAGAAUGAAACCUGCAAGCUCUCGAUGUCGAGCCCCGACCACCUCGAGCACGAUCACAACGGCAACAAUCA